GCAAACUUGGUCAUUUAGAGGAAGUAAAAGUCGUAACAAGGUUUCCGUAGGUGAACCUGCGGAAGGAUCAUUAUCGAGUUUUGGGUGACCUUUUGGUCGCCCGACCUCCAACCCUUUGUUAAUACCACCGUUUGUUGCUUCGGCUGCCGGUUCGCCGGUGGCCGACAGCCCCUUCAAAUUCAUUUUGAUAUAACCAUGUUUCUGUCUGAAAAUUCUUUAAUUAAAAUUUAAUUAAAACUUUCAACAACGGAUCUCUUGGUUCUGGCAUCGAUGAAGAACGCAGC
rnacentral:misc_RNA from 1 species